UCUCAAAUAAUUUAAGUGAGAACGUAGUGAAUAUGAUAAUAAAGUUUUAUUCUCCUAUCUAAUUAAAAAUGCUAUGAAAAAAUAAUAUUAUCCGUCAAUUAUCUACCUUGAUCCAAUUACAUGAAAUACAAAAAUCCCAUAACAACUCAAGGGUAUAAUUCGAAAGAAUUUUUUUUCUAGAGCUUUAAACCACACACAAAACUAGUUAAAAACAAUGAACCAAACACUUGAUAAUAAUAAUUCCUGCAUUAUUAAUCCCUGCAUUACUAAUCCUUGCAUUAUCAAUCCCUGCAUUACUAAUCCCUGCAUUAUUGAUCUUUGUACCAAACGACCCCUUAACUGAUUGUGUGUCAAACCUGACUUACCAGUGUUGAUUUCUUAAUGUGUCGGUCUUACUGGACUCAAAACUGGGUCAUCCGGCCCAUUUAACAGGCUUAUUUCUAUUUCUAUUAAUUUUGAUUUUAUGAGGUACAAACAUGUCGUAAUAUUAUAUCUCACUUGAUACAUAUACAUUAUUAACUAUGUUGUUGAUGUACAUUCUUGUUUGAUAAAUAUAGCAUGUAUAAGAGACGUUGCCUCUAAUAGUAUGACAACAACACAAAAAAAAUUAUUCUUUAAUUUCUAAUGAACUAACACUAUGUACACGACAUUAAAAUUUGAUAUGAUUUAUUUUAUUAUAUUUACUACUAUAUUAGAAGAAGGCUAUUUCAACAUGCCUGUGUCAUCACACUGAAGGUUAUUUUUGUCUUUUCAGUAUUCAAAUAUAGCUAGGUGUCUUGCUUUUGUGUCUUCAAUGUACACCUCAGGUUUAGCUGUCUUGAUUAUUUCAAGAUCUUACUUCAUUGCUCACAAAAUGUAUCUCCUUUCUCAAGCAUUCAUUAGAUCUGGUCAACAUGCCUGCUUCAGCUAGGGAUUUUUUCGUCAUUCAAGUGUAGUUACACGAGGCACUACUUAGCAUAGGAACUGGUAAUUUUUUCUACUUUCAAUCCUCUUCUUGGUGUUCCUCUGCUUUUGACUGAUACUUAUAUCUGGAGGUUUCUUUGAAUCUUUCUGCUUGUUUUUCACCUUCGAUUUCAUGCAUGAUAUAUUGGUGUGUUUUAAUUGAAUUUCGGCUUUUUUUAGUUUUUUGAGAUAUACUAAAUAAAGAAGCCUCUGCACUCAUGGUCAAUAUGCAUGUUUCAUCACAGGGCAAUUUGGUCAUUCCUUGCUUUCAUUUGGUUCAAGCGAUGCUCUGAUUUUUCAUAGUUUUCAUGGAUUUUACUCCACUGUGCUUAGUUUCCUUGCCAUUAUGUGUUUCGUGUAAUUUUAUUUGUUCUCUUUUUUUGAUCUAUCGGGGGUUACAAGUCGGGUUAAAUUAUGAUGGUUUCAGAUUUGCAUAGGAAGUGUUUGAUAAAAGUGUUUACUAACUAUUAAGCCUCUGCUUCAUUGAUCAAAGAAACCAUUCUUGUUGUCCUCAAUUAAUGCUCUUAUUUCAGUUCCCUUAAUAUCAUUGAUGUUGACUUGCUUGAAUUUGGUUAUUCCCAUUUGUGUGUCUCGAUGUGUUGUCGCCAUAGUUUGGUUUACUAUGUGAAAAAUCAUAUUAUAGUAGUUGUUACUAGUGUUGUUUCGAUACGAUUUUCGUUGCAGUUCUUAGCUAGAUUUAGCUUUAGAAAAAAGAGCUAAUGAUUAAGAAAAUAUAUCUAAAUUGUCAUAAAUAUUUAAUCCCAAUCGAUGCAGAUCACUUUCUACCAUAAUAAGUUCUACUUGCACUAGUUCUGAUCAAUAGUGACACAAUCUGUAAUUACACAAUCUAUUUCAUCCAUGAAGUUUUUUCAUUUCCAUAAUCUCGAAAUAGCAAGGAUACACUUCUGACCAUAUCAUAUAAAGCUGAUUUAUAUUUGGAAUGACAAGAGUUAUUGUAUAGGACUGGAUUUUACCUUGUGCACAACCUCCAAAGGAUAGCGACUACAAUUUCCCUUGUUAUCAAAAAAAUUUGCACUUUCCUGAAAACUACAAAUCUUGAGUUGUUAUAGUGGACAUUAAACUGGCUAUUCUGGAAAAGAAUAUAUCUCUGAAAUGGUAUCUUCAGGGGCCAUUUUGGUGAUGAUCUUAUCUGAUGUCUUUGUGCUUCGUGUUUUAAAAGGGAAAAGAAAUUGUUUAUCCUUUAAUAGUUUAUGAAAAGGGUUUGGCUUGUUAUUCCAUAUUGAUUAUUUAUCAUGAAACCUAAGAACAUAAUAUUAUCAGUUUGAUUCCUAACAACAAUUUAGGUAGGUCUCUAAAGAGAUUUGUGUUGGAUAGCCAGCUUUUGGGGAUAGCCCAAAAUUUUGAUAAAUUCUUAUUUCACCAACCAAACUUGUUUUCAAAAUUACCAUUCCUCAUAUUUUUGCUUGUAUAACAAUGUUAUUGUGGCUAUUAUUACCUUCUGAGACCAAGAAGAGGACCAAGAGUGUGAUCGGGAGCUGCUGGAUUCAGAUAUAAAAGGUGAAUCACUGAACCUAUUUGAUGAAGAACUUGACGCAAAAGUUUCUUUGUGACCAUUAACAAAAUCUGUAGAAGAGAUUUGAUAUAAGUCUUACUCUUCCCGACUAUUUUGAUCUCUCUCAAAUGUAUUACUUUUGAUAGAUAGAGAGGCGUAUGUUAUUAAAUAUUUGCCACGUACUUCCAGCUUUAAAAUGAUUUCCCCUCUCCGUUGGUGCGUGUUCCUUGUUUUAUUUUUUUUUUGUUUUUUAUGGUUAUUUGGCAUGUGCAGAGAAAAUAUGCCUAAUAUUAGAAGAUUAUGCUCUGUAUAUGUUCCAUUAACAAAGGUUCAUAACUUGACUCGGCUAAGAAGUUUGAAUACGAAUCAAUUGAAUUUUGUUGUAGUCGUGGUACAAUUAAGCUGAUUUCUGCACUGAUAGAUUUAUAGUAGGAGCUUCUGAAAAAUCUCUGCAUGCGAACUUAUAAACUUUAAUUCUUGAAUCAUUAUCUAAUGUACCAUGAAUUUUUCAUAUAA